GUGCCAGCAGCCGCGGUAAAACGUAGGAGGCAAGCGUUAUCCGGAUUUACUGGGUGUAAAGCGCGUGCAGGCGGUUUAUUAAGUUGGGUGUGAAAGCUCCUGGCUCAACUAGGAGAGGUCGCUCAAGACUGAUAGACUCGAGAGCAGUAGGGGAAGGUGGAAUUCCGGGAGUAGUGGUGAAAUGCGUAGAUAUCCGGAGGAACACCAGUGGCGAAGGCGGCCUUCUAGACUGUAUCUGACGCUCAGACGCGAAAGCUAGGGUAGCAAACGGGAUUAGAGACCCCGGUAGUCCUAGCCGUAAACGAUGUGAACUUGGCGCUGGCUGGGUAAAACCGAUCAGUGCCGAAGCAAACGCGAUAAGUUCACCACCUGGGGACUACGGCCGCAAGGUUAAAACUCAAAGGAAUUGACGGGGGCCCGCACAAGCAGCGGAGCGUGUGGUUUAAUUCGAUGCUACACGAAGAACCUUACCAGGGCUUGACAUGCAUGUGGUAGCGAAGCGAAAGCGGAGCGACCCUUCGGGGAGCAUGCACAGGUGCUGCAUGGCUGUCGUCAGCCUCGUGUCGUGAGAUUGUUCGGGUUAAGUCCGCUAACCGAGCCGCAACCCCUCCGCCGUGGUGUUAAUACGUUGUCACCGCGGAAACUGCCAGUCUUAAGCUGGAGGAAGGUGGGGAUGACGUCAAAGUCAGCAUGGCCUUUUAUUGUUCUGGGCUACACACACACCGCUAACAAUGCCAAGUAACAAACAGGUAGCGAAGCCCGCGAAGGCGGGAAGCAAUCCUAAAGGCUGGUCUCAAGUUCAAGAUUGCAAAGCUUGCCAACUUCGGCCCUGCAUAGAAAGAGAUGGAGUGUGUCCUAGUAUAACCGCGCAGGUCACGCCUAUAUCCUCGCGGUA
rnacentral:rRNA from 1 species